GUGUCAGCAGCCGCGGUAAGACGAACCGUGCGAACGUUGUUCGGAAUCACUGGGCUUAAAGGGCGCGUAGGCGGGCGAUCAAGUCGAUGGUGAAAGCCUCCGGCUCAACCGGAGAAGUGCCGUCGAUACUGGUCGUCUCGAGGGAGGUAGGGGCAGAUGGAACUUCCAGUGGAGCGGUGAAAUGCGUUGAUAUUGGAAGGAACGCCGGCGGCGAAAGCGAUCUGCUGGACCUCUUCUGACGCUGAGGCGCGAAAGCUAGGGGAGCGAACGGGAUUAGAUACCCCGGUAGUCCUAGCCCUAAACGAUGGGCACUGAGUAGUGGGCUUGCAUGGGCUCACUGCUGUAGCAAAAGUGGUAAGUGCCCCGCCUGGGGAGUAUGGUCGCAAGGCUGAAACUCAAAUGAAUUGACGGGG
rnacentral:rRNA from 1 species